rnacentral:rRNA from 1 species
AGUGAACGCUGGCGGUAUGCCUAACACAUGCAAGUCGAACGGCAGCACCGUAAGAGCUUGCUCUUACGGGUGGCGAGUCGCGGACGGGUGAGGAAUACAUCGGAAUCUACUUUUUCGUGGGGGUUCACGUAGGGAAACUUACGCUCAUACCGCAUACGACCUACGGGUGAAAGCAGUGGAUCUUCGCGCCUUGCGCGGUUGGAUGAGCCGCUGUCGGAUUAGCUAGUUGGCGGGGUGAAGGCCCACCAAGGCGACGAUCCGUAGCUGGUCUGAGAGGAUGAUAGGCCACACUGGAAGUGAGACAGGGUCCAGAGUCCUACGGGAGGCAGCAGUGGGGAAUAUUGGACAAUGGGCGCAAGCCUUAUACAGCGAUACCGCGUGGGUGAAGAAGGCCUUCGGGUUGUAAAGCCCUUUUGUUGGGAAAGAAAAGCAGCAGGCUAAUACCCCGCGGGUCUGACGGUACCCAAAGAAGAAGCACCGGCUAACUUCGUG